ACGGAGGAUCCAAGCGUUAUCCGGAAUCAUUGGGUUUAAAGGGUCCGUAGGUGGAUAAUUAAGUCAGAGGUGAAAGUUUGCCGCUUAACGGUAAAAUUGCCUUUGAUACUGGUUAUCUUGAAUUAUUGUGAAGUGGUUAGAAUAUGUAGUGUAGCGGUGAAAUGCAUAGAUAUUACAUAGAAUACCAAUUGCGAAGGCAGAUCACUAACAAUAUAUUGACACUGAUGGACGAAAGCGUGGGGAGCGAACGGG
rnacentral:rRNA from 1 species